rnacentral:rRNA from 1 species
UGGGGAAUAUUGCACAAUGGGCGCAAGCCUGAUGCAGCCAUGCCGCGUGUGUGAAGAAGGCCUUCGGGUUGUAAAGCACUUUCAGCGAGGAGGAAGGUGGUGAGCUUAAUACGCUCAUCAAUUGACGUUACUCGCAGAAGAAGCACCGGCUAACUCCGUGCCAGCAGCCGCGGUAAUACGGAGAGUGCAAGCGUUAAUCGGAAUUACUGGGCGUAAAGCGCACGCAGGCGGUUUGUUAAGUCAGAUGUGAAAUCCCCGGGCUCAACCUGGGAACUGCAUUUGAAACUGGCAAGCUAGAGUCUCGUAGAGGGGGGUAGAAUUCCAGGUGUAGCGGUGAAAUGCGUAGAGAUCUGGAGGAAUACCGGUGGCGAAGGCGGCCCCCUGGACGAAGACUGACGCUCAGGUGCGAAAGCGUGGGGAGCAAACAGGAUUAGAUACCCUGGUAGUCCACGCUGUAAACGAUGUCGAUUUUGGAGGUUGUGCCCUUGAGGCGUGGCUUCCGGAGCUAACGCGUUAAAUCGACCGCCUGGGGAGUACGGCCGCAAGGUUAAAACUCAAAGGAAUUGACGGGGUCAUAGCUG